GACGAACGCUGGCGGCGUGCUUAACACAUGCAAGUCGAACGGAAAGGCCUCAGCUUGCUGGGGUACUCGAGUGGCGAACGGGUGAGUAACACGUGGGUGAUCUGCCUUGCACUCUGGGAUAAGCUUGGGAAACUGGGUCUAAUACCGGAUAUGAACUGCCUUUAGUGUGGUGGUUGGAAAGUUUUUUCGGUGCAAGAUGAGCUCGCGGCCUAUCAGCUUGUUGGUGGGGUAAUGGCCUACCAAAGCGUCGACGGGUAGCCGGCCUGAGAGGGUGUACGGCCACAUUGGGACUGAGAUACGGCCCAGACUCCUACGGGAGGCAGCAGUGGGGAAUAUUGCACAAUGGGCGGAAGCCUGAUGCAGCGACGCCGCGUGGGGGAUGACGGCCUUCGGGUUGUAAACUCCUUUCGACAGGGACGAAGCUUUUUGUGACGGUACCUGUAUAAGAAGCACCGGCUAACUACGUG
rnacentral:rRNA from 1 species